GCCCCCGUAGCUCAACUGGAUAGAGCGCCGGCCUUCUAAGCCGGGGGUUGCAGGUUCGAGUCCUGCCGGGGGCG
rnacentral:tRNA from 1 species